rnacentral:rRNA from 1 species
UACGUAGGGGGCUAGCGUUGUCCGGAAUCAUUGGGCGUAAAGAGCGUGUAGGCGGUCCGGUAAGUCCGCUGUGAAAGUCGGGGGCUCAACCCUCGAAUGCCGGUGGAUACUGUCGGGCUAGAGUGCGGAAGAGGCGAGUGGAAUUCCUGGUGUAGCGGUGAAAUGCGCAGAUAUCAGGAGGAACACCGGUGGCGAAGGCGGGUCUCUGGGCCGAAACUGACGCUGAGACGCGAAAGCGUGGGGAGCGAACAGG